ACGCCCUGAUCUUAAACUUUUGGGCUCCAGAACGGUGAGAAAUCAGAAUCUGUUGUUGCAAUUCCCCCGGUCCACGGCACUGUGUUAGAGCCGCCCAAGCUAAGACAGCUGCUUAACCUGGGAGCACUUCCUUUGCCUCCGUGGACUCUUUGUCUCUGCAGUCUCCUCUCUCUUGGCCCCUUUCAAUGAUCACUUGCUAUUCAUUGAGAGGCAGUCUCCUCUCUCUUGGCCCCUUUCAAUGAUCACUUGCUAUUCAUCGAGAGAAACAACCGACCGGUUUUCUGCGAGUGGAAAAUGCUCCCUUCCAGUUGUGCUAGGAGCUGGGGAUGACAGGCAGCUCACAUUUCAGCAGGUGAAGACAGCCCGGGUUUCUGUUUAGGGGAGGCAAGCACUCCAAAGCCCUUUGCUACUGAGCAAGUGCCCUGUUCCAGGAGUAAAGCAGAGGCUGAGGCAGAGCUCUGUGCUGGUCUGUGAAGUCUCCUCUCGCACUGGGCGAGUGGAUGGGUAACUUAUUUGCAACGCAACCUGAGACUCUAGGCAUGCUUCAAUUUUUUCUUUUUCUUUUUCCUGCAGUAUGCAGUGACUUGAUGUGGGAUCUCAGUUUCCAGACCAGGGAUCGAACCUAGGCUGCAGCUGUAUAAAUGUGAAUCCUUAACACUAGAUCACCAGGGGACUCCUAGACACACUUUAAAGGAACUAUUUCCUACACUGCUAGCCUGGAUCAAUUCCCUAAGUUAGGAAGGAGGUGAGUUCGGUUUUAGUUCUAUGUGACUUCAUACACAGUUACUUUAAAGGAACUAUUUCCUACACUGCUAGCCUGGAUCAAUUCCCUAAGUUAGGAAGGAGGUGAGUUGGGUUUUAGUUCUGUGCGACUUCAUACACAGUUGCUUUCUCAGUGUGGUUUUCAGUGUCAACAUCUAUAAAAUGAGGGCCUUGGGUUAGAUAUGCCAUCUAGCUCUUAAAUUAUCUAUGUGUCUUUGGCUUUGGAGGGCUAAAUGUGAAAGCUCUCCAAACUAUGCUUUAUCUAUUAGUGAAGAAGCUGCUCAGAUUUCAUUUCAUCUCUGACCAAGACAAAUGGACAUCUCACAUCGACAGCUCUGCUGUAGUCCUUUUGCUGAAGGAUGUUUUUCCACCCACCAAACUGUGCAUUCCAGGCUUGCCACAGGACCUGCACCUGUCACUGCACGUCACCAGGCUAAUUUGUUCUAAUCCCAUCAAGUUCAUAGCCCUGUGGAUGAGUUUUCCUAUUGGCAAACUCAAGGCUGAUGAAUGAGCAAUUAUAACCGGGAACAGGGAGGGAAGGAGGGCUGCCAGAAGGGGAAGGAUGAAUAUUACCUGGAUUAAUCUAUGAAAUUCAGAUCAGAAAAUAUUAACCUCUUUUUUAGGCAAACACAUGGCGAUGCUGAACUUCUGGAGUUCAAAUACCAAGGGGACUGAAACCUGGAACUUCAUGGGGACAAGAGGACAUGUCACAGAAGCUACAUGACAUGGCUCUCCAGUGAGUGGUGCCUUGACACCCCAUGAGUAGGUUGGUUGGUUUCUUCUCCACAAAAUUGGUAUUUUAUUUUAUUUAUUUUUUGCCUUUUCUAGGGCUGCCCCCAUGGCAUAUGGAGGUUCCCAGGCUAGGGGUUAAAUCAGAGCUGUAGCCACUGGCCCGACACCACAGCCACAGCAACGCAGGAUCGAAGCCACGUCUGCAACCCACACCACAGCUCAUGGCAACGCCAGAUCCUUAACCCACUGAGCAAGGCCAGGGAUCGAACCCGCAACCUCAUGGUUCCUAGUCGGAUACGUUAACCACUGAGCCACGACAGGAACUCUAAAAUUGGUAUUUUAAACCCCAAAUUACUGGGAAUAAUUUCCAGCCCACUGACUGGAAAUCAAAAUGGAGCAGAAUGAUUUCCUGCGCAGAAAAAUGUUGCUCAGGGAUGCAACAGAGACGGUCAGGAAAUAGGCUUUGCUCCCCGAGGCCUUUUCCCUGUUUUGUAUUUCAUUGUCUCACUGCCCACCUCCUUCAGGGACUACACACAAAGGCUACACUAAUUGGAAUCAAGUUUGAAAGCAUCACUAAGACUGCCUUGAAGUUAAGGAGAGCCUGCUAUGCAAUCUCAAUUUUCUAAAACCUUAUCUCCUAAUCACCUUUCCUUUAAUACUGAGUCGAUUUUAUUUUUAAUUUGUUCUUUCACAUGGGAAGUUUGUUUUUUGACUGGGGAUUCAGCUGGAUUAGCUUUCAUCAGGGCUCACUCAAACCCCAGUGUAGGCUAGGCCAGUGUACUCUAGGGCUUCGGCUCCCAAGCUGAGUACUCCUGGUGGUUAAGAAAAGAAGGAGGAAAAGAAAAGGCAAGAGCAGUUAGUAGCAACUUGAGGGAUUCUGCUAGGCCUCCCCAGUGUCUUCACUAUUCAGACUCUAAUAAGUGGGCUGCCUAGUCCAGGACGGCCAAAAUGACUUGUGUCUGACUGCAGAACCGUCACAUCCACUAAUAGCAAGGGUGAU
rnacentral:lncRNA from 1 species